rnacentral:rRNA from 1 species
CAGUCGCCGCGGUAAUACGUAGGGUGCAAGCGUUAAUCGGAAUUACUGGGCGUAAAGCGUGCGUAGGCGGCUUCUUAAGUCGGAUGUGAAAUCCCUGAGCUUAACUUAGGAAUUGCAUUCGAUACUGGGAAGCUAGAGUAUGGGAGAGGAUGGUAGAAUUCCAGGUGUAGCGGUGAAAUGCGUAGAGAUCUGGAGGAAUACCGAUGGCGAAGGCAGCCAUCUGGCCUAAUACUGACGCUGAGGUACGAAAGCAUGGGGAGCAAACAGGAUUAGAUACCCGGGUAGUCCCUGUCUCUUAUAC